rnacentral:lncRNA from 10 species
GAUAGCGUUUAGGCUCUUUUUCAUCAAAUAUAAAAAUCCAGCCCGGUUCAUGACUUGUUUGGCAGCAACCCUGAGACACUUUACAGCCCUAGACCCUAAAAGGUCAAAAGGCCGUCUUAUUCUCAAAAUACAUUUUAUUACCCAAUCUGCUCCUGACAUUAAAUAAAACUCCAAAAAUUAAAUUCUGACCCUCAAACCCCGUAACAGGAUUUAAUUAACUUCACCUUCAAGGUGUACGAUAGUAGAAAAAAGUUUCAAUUCCUUGCCUCCACUGUGAGACAAACCCCAGCCACAUCUCCAGCACACAAGAAGUUCCAAACACCUGAACCGCAGUGGCCAGGCGUUCCUCCAGAACCUCCUCCCACAGGAGCUUGCUACACGUGCCGGAAAUCUGGCCACUGGGCCAAGGAAUGCCCGCUGCCCGGGAUUCCUCCUAAGCUGCGUCCCAUCUGUGUGGGACCCCACUGAAAAUCGGACUGUUCGACUCACCUGGCAGCCACUCCCAGAGCCCCUGGAACUCUGGCCCAAGGCUCUCUGACUGACUCCUUCCCAGAUCUUCUCGGCUUAGCGGCUGAAGACUGACACUGCCCGAACGCCUCGGAAGCCCCCUAGACCAUCACGGAUGCUGAGCUUUGGGUAACUCUCACAGUGGAAGAUCCCCAGCUAUAUGAAGACAACCUAGCUGGGCGAUCAGUUCUUGUUAAGAAUCUGACCCCUCAAACUCUACAACCUCGAUGGACCGGACCCUACUUAGUCAUCUAUAGUACCCUGACUGCCGUCCGCCUGCAGGAUCCUCCCCACUGGGUUCACCGUUCCAGAAUAAAGCUGUGUCCAUCGGACAGCCAGCCUAAUCCCUCCUCUUCCUCCUGGAAGUCGCAAGUACUCUCCCCCACUUCCCUUAAACUCACUCGUAUUUCUGAAGAACAGUAAUAACACUUACGAGCCUAAUACAUCCCUUCAUUCUAUUAGGUCUGUUCGUCCUUACCCUACUUUUUGCAACAGGGCUUUAAGAAGUCACCCCACCACUUAGGCCAAGCCCCAAAAAACUAGUCAUCCCUACUAUCUUCUGUCCGGUCAUACUCCUAUUCUCCAUUCUCAACUACUUAUAAAUGCUCUACUCUUGUUUACACCGCUGGUUUACACUGUUUUUCCAAGCCAUCAAAGCUGAUAUCUCCUGGUGCUAUCCCCAAACUGCCACUCUUAACUCUUGAAGUAAAUAAAUAAUCUUUGCUGGCAGGGCUAUGCUGAAUCUCCUUAGGCACUCUCUAAUUAGAUGUCCUAGGUCCUCCCAAUUCUUAGUCCUUUUAUACCUGUUUUUCUCCUUCUCUUAUUCCAUUUAGUUUUUCAAUUCAUAUAAAACCGUAUCCAGGCCAUCACCAAUCAUUCUAUACGACAAAUGUUUCUUCUAACAUCCCCACAAUAUCACCCCUUACCACAAGACCUCCCUUCAGCUUAAUCUCUCCCACUUUAGGUUACCACGCCGCCCCAAUCCCCCUUGAAGCAGCCCUGAGAAACAUCGCCCAUUCUCUCUCCAUAUCACCCCCCAAAAAUUUUCACCGCCCCAACACUUCAACACUAUUUUAUUUUUCUUAUUAAUAUAAGAAGGCAGGAAUGUCAGCCCUCUGAGCCCAAGCCAAGCCAUCGCAUCCCCUGUGACUUGCACGUAUACACCCAGAUGGCCUGAAGUAACUAAAGAAUCACAAAAGAAGUGAAUAUGCCCUGCCCCACCUUAACUGAUGACAUUCCACCACAAAAGAAGUGUAAAUGGCCAGUCCUUGCCUUAACUGAUGACAUUACCUUGUGAAAGUCCUUUUCCUGGCUCAUCCUGGCUCAAAAAGCACCCCCCACUGAGCACCUUGCGACCCCUACUCCUGCCCACUGAGCACCUUGUGAUCCCCACUCCUACCCGCCAGAGAACAAACCCCCUUUGACUGUAAUUUUCCUUUACCUCCCCAAAUCCUAUAAAAUGGCCCCACCCUUAUCUCCCUUCGCUGACUCUCUUUUUGGACUCAGCCCACCUGCACCCAGGUGAAAUAAACAGCCAUGUUGCUCACACAA